GGGGAAUCUUGCGCAAUGGGCGAAAGCCUGACGCAGCAACGCCGCGUGCGGGAUGACGGCCUUCGUGGUUGUAAACCGCUUUCAGCAGGGACGAAAAUGACGGUACCUGCAGAAGAAGCCCCGGCUAACUACGUGCCAGCAGCCGCGGUAAUACGUAGGGGGCAAGCGUUGUCCGGAAUCAUUGGGCGUAAAGAGCUCGUAGGCGGUUCAGUAAGUCGGGUGUGAAAGCUCCGAGCUCAACUCGGAGAGGCCACUCGAUACUGCUGUGACUAGAAUCCAGUAGGGGAGCGUGGAACUCCUGGUGUAGCGGUGAAAUGCGCAGAUAUCAGGAAGAACACCAGCGGCGAAGGCGGCGCUCUGGGCUGGAAUUGACGCUGAGGAGCGAAAGUGUGGGUAGCAAAC
rnacentral:rRNA from 1 species